GGACUACCAGGGUUUCUAAUCCUGUUUGCUCCCCACGCUUUCGUGCCUGAACGUCGGUGCUGGACCAGGAAGCCGCUUUCGCCACUGGUGUUCCUUCCGAUAUCUACGCAUUUCACCGCUACACCGGAAAUUCCGCUUCCCUCUUCCGCACCCUAGCUAUUCAGUCUCAAAUGCAAUUCCCAGGUUGAGCCCGGGGCUUUCACACCUGACUUAAAUAACCGUCUACGCACGCUUUACGCCCAGUAAUUCCGAUUAACGCUUGCACCCUCUGUAUUACCGCGGCUGCUGGCAC
rnacentral:rRNA from 2 species